GAGUUUGAUCGUGGCUCAGAAUGAACGUUGGCGGCGUGGAUUAGGCAUGCAAGUCGAGCGAGAACCCAGCAAUGGGGGACAGCGGCGAAAGGGACAGUAAUGUGUAGAUCAUCUGCCCUCAGGCCCGGGAUAGCUGCGGGAAACUGCAGGUAAUACCGGAUAACAUCUCCGGAUCAAAGGUGUGAUUCCGCCUGAGGAUGAGUCUACAUCCUAUUAGCUAGUUGGUAGGGUAACGGCCUACCAAGGCUUUGAUGGGUAGCGGGUGUGAGAGCACGACCCGCGUCAUUGGGACUGAGACACUGCCCAGACACCUACGGGUGGCUGCAGUCGAGAAUCUUCGGCAAUGGGCGCAAGCCUGACCGAGCGACGCCGCGUGCGGGAUGAAGGCCUUCGGUUGUAACCGACUGUCAGAGGGAGUGAAAUGCGGGUGGGUUCGUCCAUCCGUUUGACAUAGCCUCAGAGGAAGGACGGGCGUAAG
rnacentral:rRNA from 1 species